ACAUGCUUGAUAUUUAUAAUGUUUUAAAAUGUUAGUUUGUCCGUUUAAAUGUAGUAACCUAUGUGUGGGGCAAGUUACUAGCUAGCUAUGCUAACGGCUACAGCCAGUCGAGCCUUUGUCCCUUCAAAUGUGCUCAUGUGGGCUCCUGCAGCCACACACCUGUGUGGAGAAAAGCUAAUGGCUAACGGCAUCGAGCGGCUACAGGCAGGGAGCGGUGGGUCUAGCGUCUGUCCUUUUUCUGUAAUCACAUACACCUGUGGGGAACAGCUGAUCUUUAUCGCCCUUCCAGCGGCGACAGCCAGGAAGCGGUGGGUCUAGCUCGCUGUAGGAGCCACAUCCCAGUUACCUACAUGCAAGGAGGCUGUCAAACAGAGAAAUCACUGCAGACUGUUGGUACACAGACAUCUGCUGCCCAGCUCAGGAGUGAAGUACCUUUUGUUUUGAUGAGGUGAUGGUGAGGACAGCCACAGCUUCCAUCUGGUAGAGGACUGCUUCCGCUCAGUCUUCCAAAUAGUGAUGAGAACAAGGAUCACCACAUCUCCCUGUUUACCCUACUUUCUGUCUGCAGAGCCCUGCAAAAGCUUCUGACCUCAAACCCCCAGACCUCUUAAUUAACUCAGUAACCUAUACAUUGCACAUUGGAGUGUGAAGGUAACAGUUUGUUCUAGCUUUGGAGUAGUGGUGUAUUUUUUGGUUUACAAUAAAGUUGGCUUUAACUAUUAUGUAUUUCACUAAACUCUGUUUCUGAAGGGAAAACACUUUUAUUUAGGAAAUCAUAGUAUUGAAAUUACAUGUUUUUCUCUUUCUAAUAUGGUAAGCUAUAAAGUUGAAACGGCCAUAAAUAAAAAGCAUAUAAAUUAUAUAUAAAUAAAAUAAAAAAAUUCUUAAUGAGUGUUGCACUCACAAAAAACACAUUUUUACUCAAAUGGUAAAGGAGUUAAUCCACAGGUGGUCUACAUCAAUCAUACUAUGAGUGUUUUAGUGUUUUAUCCAUCAGGAAACUGCCUUCAUCUACAACCCAAGCAUGAAGACAUGGCAACUCAGAUUCUUCACCCCAGGAAUCCUCAGCACCAGCUCACUAGCCUCUGUAGACUAGAUACCUGUAACAACUUUAGAUACAGAGACAUAUUACUGUCAGAUUUAUAAAGAAUGACAAAAAACAUAAUUAAAAGCAGUAAAAAUACGUCAGGUCAAUAUAUAAUUUGAACCAAUGCUUUUUGUUCCCAGGAAGGUCAUGCAGUGAUUGCUCUAAAUAUUAAUGCACAUUUUUUAAAUAAAAUUGUCAGAGCAGCAGCACAAGUAAGACAAAAACAGUGAAAUGUGUAAAUGUAAAAUGUAUUUAUAUUAUUUCAGCUAUGCUCUCAAACUUAUUUAUUUGUAUAAUGUAAGCUAAAGUAGUGUUUUCUAUUAACGAGAGUUUUCCAGGUAAGUCGUGUUGUGAAUAUUGAAGCUGCACACGCCAUUUAGCAUACGCAUUAGCAACCGCUAGUCGCUUUGCAAAUUACAUAAAUCAAUUAAAUUGAAGUAAA